UAACGCGAAGAACCUUACCAGGCCUUGACAUAGGAUGCGAAGGGAUAGAGACAUGCCGGAGGGUAUCAUCCAUACAGGUGGUGCAUGGUUGUCGUCAGCUCGUGUCGUGAGAUGUUCAGUUAAGUCUGGCAACGAGCGCAACCCUCGUGAUAUGUUACCAGCAGAAGAUGGGGACUCAUAUCAGACUGCCGGUGAGAAACCGGAGGAAGGCGGGGAUGACGUCAAAUCAUCAUGCCCCUUAUGGCCUGGGCUACACACGUACUACAAUGGCGGCCACAGGGGGCAGCGACUCUGCAAGGAGGAGCGAAUCCCAAAAAAGCCGUCCCAGUUCGGAUCGGAGUCUGCAACCCGACUCCGUGAAGAUGGAAUCGCUAGUAAUCGCGGAU
rnacentral:rRNA from 1 species